rnacentral:rRNA from 1 species
UACGUAUGGGGCAAGCGUUGUUCGGAAUUAUUGGGCGUAAAGGGCACGCAGGCUGUUUGGUAAGUCGGUGGUUUAACCUAUGGGCUCAACCCAUAGUCUGCCAUCGAUACUGCCAGACUUGAGUAUCGGAGGGGAUAGCGGAAUUCUCGGUGUAGCGGUGGAAUGCGUAGAUAUCGAGAGGAACACCAAUGGCGAAGGCAGCUAUCUGGCCGGUAACUGACGCUCAUGUGCGAAAGUGCGGGGAGCAAAC